rnacentral:rRNA from 1 species
GAUGAACGCUGGCGGCGUGCCUAAUACAUGCAAGUCGAGCGAACAGACGAGGAGCUUGCUCCUCUGACGUUAGCGGCGGACGGGUGAGUAACACGUGGAUAACCUACCUAUAAGACUGGGAUAACUUCGGGAAACCGGAGCUAAUACCGGAUAAUAUAUUGAACCGCAUGGUUCAAUAGUGAAAGACGGUUUUGCUAUCACUUAUAGAUGGAUCCGCGCCGCAUUAGCUAGUUGGUAAGGUAACGGCUUACCAAGGCAACGAUACGUAGCCGACCUGAGAGGGUGAUCGGCCACACUGGAACUGAGACACGGUCCAGACUCCUACGGGAGGCAGCAGUAGGGAAUCUUCCGCAAUGGGCGAAAGCCUGACGGAGCAACGCCGCGUGAGUGAUGAAGGUCUUCGGAUCGUAAAACUCUGUUAUUAGGGAAGAACAAAUGUGUAAGUAACUAUGCACGUCUUGACGGUACCUAAUCAGAAAGCCACGGCUAACUACGUG